GUUGUCGAUGAAGCGGUGGUAGACUCAGUUGAUGAACUAGUAGAAUCUGAAGUCAUCGUUACAGCGGUGGUAGACUCAGUUGUAGAGCUGGUGGUUUGAGGAGUUGUCGAUGAAGUAGGAGCCGACGGAGUGGUACGAGUCGUUGGAGAAGAAGGACUCGUUGGCGAUGUAGGAAUCGUUGGUGAGGUAGGAGGCGUCAUUGAAGUAGAAGUCGUCGAUGAAGCAGUG